AGUGAACGCUGGCGGUAGGCCUAACACAUGCAAGUCGAACGGCAGCACAGUAAGAGCUUGCUCUUACGGGUGGCGAGUGGCGGACGGGUGAGGAAUACAUCGGAAUCUACUUUUUCGUGGGGGAUAACGUAGGGAAACUUACGCUAAUACCGCAUACGACCUACGGGUGAAAGCAGGGGAUCUUCGGACCUUGCGCGAUUGAAUGAGCCGAUGUCGGAUUAGCUAGUUGGCGGGGUAAAGGCCCACCAAGGCGACGAUCCGUAGCUGGUCUGAGAGGAUGGUCGGCCACACUGGAACUGAGACACGGUCCAGACUCCUACGGGAGGCAGCAGUGGGGAAUAUUGGACAAAGGGCGCAAGCCUGAUCCAGCCAUACCGCGUGGGUGAAGAAGGCCUUCGGGUUGUAAAGCCCUUUUGUUGGGAAAGAAAAGCAGCAGGUUAAUACCCCGCUGUUCUGACGGUACCCAAAGAAUAAGCACCGGCUAACUUCGUG
rnacentral:rRNA from 1 species